CAAUCCAAUGUCCUACCUAAGAAUCUUCAAUUUGAAAAUGACAAAGUAAUCUCUGAACUUAGAAGUGAUAGGAUUCUUAAGGAUCCAUUCCAAAAUCAAGUGAGUGAAGCUAGUACUGAUGCUAGCCAAAAAAAAAUUUAGAAGAAAAGGUUAGUAUUGAGACUAACCCAAUAGAAGAACCUGAGCCCAGUAUUGAUACUGAUCUAAGUGAAAAAGAGAAG
rnacentral:lncRNA from 1 species